GACACAGGCAGAGGGAGAAGCAGGCUCCAAGCAGGGAGCUGACGUGGGACUCGAUCCCAGGCCUCCAGGAUCACACCCAGGGCUGAAGGUGGUGCUAAACUGCUGAGCCACCAGGGCUGCCCUUGACAUCAAUUCUUAAAUAGUUGCACCGUCAGGAGGAUACAAACAUAUGGGAAAUGGGUUCUAGAGGAAGUAAAGCAAAGUCUUUUAGCCCAUGGAAGAUCAAGGCCCAAUGGAGGAGGUCAGAAGAAAGCUCAGACUGCCACAGGGGACUGGGGAUGUUCUGAAAUGGAAAGGAGAGCAAGACGGAAGAGGAAUCCUGGAUGACAGACUAUAGUCUCUUGUUUCGCACUUAAAAAUGCCAGAUGAUAAAGCCAUGAAGGACAGCAGUCCUCACACCGUCAAGAUGAAACCUAUUCUCUUCAUCUUGAGCAGAAGGUCCCUGGUCAAAUCACCCUUGAAGAUUGUGGUGGUGCUAUCUACAUAAGUGAUGUUUAUUUUCCUAUGGACAAAGCACAAUUCGGCGGCAAUGUUGAAAGAGAAAAGUCCCCCAGCUGGCUCCUUCAGCAAAUGGCAUUGACAUAAAGACCAAAGUAAAUGUUAGCAACCUACAAA